AAGGUUCGACCUGAGCUCAGGCAAGGCUACCCGCUGAACUUAAGCAUAUCAAUAACGGAGGAA
rnacentral:rRNA from 1 species